rnacentral:rRNA from 1 species
AUUGAACGCUGGCGGCAUGCUUUACACAUGCCAGUCGAACGGCAGCGGGGAGGAGCUUGCUUCUCUGCCGGCGAGUGGCGAACGGGUGAGUAAUACAUCGGAACGUGUCGAGAAGAGGGGGAUAACCACCCGAAAGGGUGGCUAAUACCGCAUAAAUUCUGAGGAAGAAAGCUGGGGACCUAGGAAUAGGCCUAGCGCUUUUUGAGCGGCCGAUGUCGGAUUAGCUAGUUGGUGAGGUAAAGGCUCACCAAGGCGAAGAUCUGUAGCGGGUCUGAGAGGAUGAUCCGCCACACUGGGACUGAGACACGGCCCAGACUCCUACGGGGGGCAGCAGUGGGGAAUUUUGGACAAUGGGGGCAACCCUGAUCCAGCCAUGCCGCGUGUAUGAAGAAGGCCUUAGGGUUGUAAAGUACUUUUGUUAGGGAAGAAAAGUCAGCUGUGAAUAAUGGCUGAUACUGACGGUACCUAAAGAAUAAGCACCGGCUAACUACGUG